GAGGUCAGGCUGAAGACCUUACCCGAUUUAGCUGAGAGGUGGUGCAUGGCCGUCGUCAGUUCGUACUGUGAAGCAUCCUGUUAAGUCAGGCAACGAGCGAGACCCACGUCCACAGUUGCCAGCAUACCCUCCGGGGUGAUGGGUACACUGUGGAGACCGCCGCUGCUAAAGCGGAGGAAGGAGUGGGCAACGGUAGGUCAGUAUGCCCCGAAUCUCCCGGGCUACACGCGGGCUACAAUGGUUGGUACAAUGGGCAUCUACCCCGAAAGGGGAAGGAAAUCUCUUAAAGCCAAUCGUAGUUCGGAUUGAGGGCUGCAACUCGCCCUCAUGAAGCUGGAAUCCGUAGUAAUCGCGUUUCAACAGAACGCGGUGAAUACGUCCCUGCUCCUU
rnacentral:rRNA from 1 species